rnacentral:rRNA from 1 species
GAUGAACGCUGGCGGCGUGCCUAAUACAUGCAAGUCGAGCGGACAGACGAGGAUCUUGCUCCUUUGACGUUAGCGGCGGACGGGUGAGUAACACGUGUAUAACCUACCUAUAAGUCUGGUAUCACCUCGGGAAACCGGAGCUUAUACCGGAUAAUAUAUUGAACCGCAUGGUUCAAUAGUGAAUGACGGUUUUGCUGUCACUUCUCGAUGGAUCCGCGCCGCACUAGAUAGUUGGUAAGGUAACGGCUUACCAAGGCAACGAUGCGUAGCCGACUGGAGAGGGGGAUCGGCCACACUAGAGCUGGGACACGGUCCAGACUCCUACGGGAGGCAGCAGUAGGGAAUCUUCCGCAAUGGGCGAAAGCCUGACGGAGCAACGCCGCGUGAGUGAUGAAGGUCUUCGGAUCGUAAUACUCUGUUAUUAGGGAAGAACAAAUGUGUAAGUAACUAUGCACGUCUUGACGGUACCUAAUCAGAAAGCCACGGCUAACUACGUG